CGGCGUGCCUAAUACAUGCAAGUCGAACGGUCUUUCUAUGGAAGCUUGCUUCCACUGAGAAGAUAGUGGCGAACGGGUGAGUAACACGUGGGUAACCUGCCCAUAAGAGGGGGGAUAACAUCCGGAAACGGGUGCUAAUACCGCAUAGUUUUCUUGAUUGCAUGAUUGAGAAAGGAAAGACGGCCUUUGUGCUGUCGCCUAUGGAUGGACCCGCGGCGUAUUAGUUAGUUGGUGAGGUAACGGCUCACCAAGACGAUGAUACGUAGCCGACCUGAGAGGGUGAUCGGCCACAUUGGGACUGAGACACGGCCCAAACUCCUACGGGAGGCAGCAGUAGGGAAUCUUCCGCAAUGGACGAAAGUCUGACGGAGCAACGCCGCGUGAGUGAAGAAAGGUUUUCGGAUCGUAAAACUCUGUUGUCAGAGAAGAACAAGUUGGAGAGUAACUGCUCCAGCCUUGACGGUAUCUGACCAGAAAGCCACGGCUAACUACGUGCCAGCAGCCGC
rnacentral:rRNA from 1 species